UCUAAACCUAUAAAUAUGUGUUCUUAGCCCAACACUUCCCACUGUAAUCUUCACUCUAGAUUUUUGUUUUCUUAAGCAAAAAUUAUCAUCUUCAUCUGAAAUUAGUAUGGAAAAAAUGGCUGCUAAUAGGGCCACAAAGUUUUUGCUUUUGGCUGCUCUUCUUGCAAUCCUGCUCCUCAUUUCCUUUGAGGUGGCUACUGCUGUGGUUCAUAAUGCGGUGCCAGAACUUAAGCUUGGACGCAGGCUCCUUCAAGCGGACUACAACACCACCGGGCGAUCAGGAUACAACAGCUACAACACCACUGGGCGGGGAGGAUAUAAUUGAUUCACUAAUACUUAGUAAUAUAUGUAACUGUGUCCCAAAUAAUAAAGUUGCUGCUUUAUGUUGCUAUAAUAUUAUGCUUGAUGCCUGAACCAUAAUAUACUUUGGUUCUGCAUAAGUUGUUGCUAGGAAGACAAUAAUGGCGGUGGUGUCAUAUAUAUAUAUAUAUAUAUAUAUAUAUGUUACUUUUAGAUAGUAAUAUAGAAAAGGAUGUGUGUCCUAGCUCCUACGUGUGUGUAUGGAGUUUCAGUGUUAAUAAAGCAGUCGUCAUCUACGACUGAGAAUCUGCAGCUUUUCUCGUCUGCAUCAAUGUCUUUGGUUUUUGUAAUUAAUAAAGCAACUAAUUGGGAUAC